GGCAGAGGGAGAAGCAGGCUCCAUGCAGGGACCCUGACAUGGGACUAGAUCCCAGGUCCCCAUGAUCAAGCCCUGGGCCGAAGGCGGCACUAAGCCGCUGAGCCACCUGGGCUGCCCUGGAGCUGAGCUUUUGAAGGGACUGAGCAGGUCACAGCUGAUCUAGACCAGAACUCACGUUCUGCCUCUGGGUCCAACAUUCAACUUGAACCCAACAGGGGCGAGUACUACUGCAGUCUCACGCCUGGAGGACUGCGCUGCUCCUAUUAGUCCUCCAGGCUCCACUAAUGGAUAUGUAGGGGCCUCAGGUGGAGAUUGGGGCUCAGGCCACCCAGAGGUACAUUGGGGGAAUCAUAAGACAAGGGCUGCAUGCCUGUAAAUUCACUUCAGAGCAUCCAGGAAUUGUCAAACAGUUGGAUAUCAUAGAAUGACAAAAUGUCAAAGCUAGCAGGGACCUUAAGAAUUAAUCACCCUGCUCAUUUGACAGAUAAGAGACAGAAAAAUGGAAUCGGUCAAGAACUUGUCCGAGAACUCUCCUGCAGAGUCAUUCCCAGGCCCAGGGCUCCAGGACUUUGACCGGCUAAAAGGAGAUAUCAUCAUAAUUUUGAUUCCAUCCCUGCAGGAGUGAGAGGAGGAGUCUGGAACUGAAUUUUGAUAGAAGCUGCCUUUUAUCGCAGAUGGCUUCCUGUGCCUUGCCUUGCUUCAGCAUAUCCCUUCAUUUUACCGUGGAAUGACCCUCUCCUGGGACUGAGUCAUGGAGGCCGAGGGAACUUUCACUGGCUCUUAUAGCCAACGAUGGUGUUUCUUUGGCUUUUUAGCCAAUAACUAUAACAUCCCCCAUUAAAAAGUCCCAGCUGGGGAUGCACUGCUCCCUGAGCUCCACAGGGGCUCCUAGUGAAAUGUGGAUGCCAUCCUACAACGGCAGCUUGGGGAUCAGGUCCCAUUGCUUGCCAAGACACUCCUCCAGAGUCUCUGAAACAUAAUACAUCAAAGAAAUAAUUAUUCUAAAUACAAAAAGGAAGGCAGGGUAUACGCCUAUGGGAAGGCUUUUAACCAAAGCACAUGAAGGGCCCUAGGGUAGGGUGAAAAGGGAACUGCUUUAUUUUCUAAUAGUCUUUGCUUUCCAUGGUGCAUUUUAUCAUUCAUAUCCAUUUUCAUAUGACUCUUUUAAAAAUCUUGUGAAGGAGGCAAGACAGAGUUAUAUUAUCUCCACUUCUCAGAUAAAGUAACAGACUCAGAGCGGAAGCAACCUGUCCCCUGUCACCUAAGAAGUAGCAGAACCUGGGUGGUCACAACCCAGCCUGACUCACUAGCAGUGGGCACUCAUUUUACAACAUCUCCUUUCUUUCCGGUCCAUGGUCGGGUCUGAGUCACCACUAGGGCUGACAAAGGAUUAGAAACCUGGAGCCUUUGCAGGAGUAACAAAGGAGCUGAGACGGGAGGGUCCCUUGUCCUGCUUCAUGAGCCACGCCUCAUACUCAGAGCAAAGGUACUCCUUUUUUAAAUCUCUGAUCUUAGUAACAGGCCUGUCUAGAGGAGGUAGUGUUAUAUAAUGGAAAUUAGCAACAGACAUUGGGUGAUGAAUGAAUGAACAGACAAAUGAAUGAAUUUGCUCAUACAUUAAUUUAGUGCACAAAUUAUGCUGAUUUGCCUCAGCCAGGCACUGAACCUGGACCUGAAACCACAUCCAGGAUCUGGGCUCUGCCCCAGGGAAACACACAUUCUAGUAGGGGAAGAAACAGACAUGCAGACACACCAUGACGGAAGCCGGAGUGGGGAGAGGUAGAUGCAUCAAACCUGCAACCCUCUCUCGGCAUGAGCUUCCCUAGGGUGUCAGGGACCAGCAUGACUCAGCUUUUGGUCCCUAUCAGACAUUACACUGGGAGCAUUUGAUAUCACCAGCCAGUGCUUGUUGAAUAAAUUCUCCUAGAGGAGUUGUGAAAGAUUCUGCAGUGCAGGGGACCUGUGCCAUGUGACUGAGUCUGCAAAGCCUUCAAGCCACCCAUCCAAGGUGGGACAAGGACCCCAGCCAUUAUAGCCUUCCCUGGGUGCCAUGCUAAGAUUCAUCUGGCCCCCAAGUCCUCUCCCACCUGCCACAGUUAUCUUAAAAGGUGGAGUAAGAUCAAGGCACAAGGAACAUCGCAGUCACGGUAGCCCUGCUCAUCCAUCAAGGCUGGAACACUUCACCUUGAACAAGGGAGAUAAGAAAAUAAAAUAACGCCUGACACAGCCUUAUCACCUGAUAAUACAACCUCAGUUUUUUCCAUUAAAAUAACUGAGAGCCAUAGUCCUGUACUUUGACUGAUAAAGAGAUCACAGGAAACAAAGCUAUUAAUUUUUAUCUCUGCUGUGCAAUAGCACAUUUGAGUGAAUACAGUAUAUCCAGGGGGAAAAAAUACUUUUUCUGAUGGUGGAAGUUGGAUAUGAAUUUUUCCUCCUCCCAUCUUUCAUUUCUUUUUUUUUUUCAAAAUUUAUUUAUUUAUUUAUUUAUGAUAGACACACACAGAGAGAGAGGCAGAGGCACAGGCAGAGGGAGAAGCAGGCUCCAUGCCGGGAGCCCGAUGCGGAACUCGAUCCCGAGACUCCAGGAUCAUGCCCUGGGCCAAAGGCAGGCGUUAAACCACUGAGCCACCCAGGGAUCCCCCCAUCUUUAAUUUCUCUCAUAUUCUUCACCCACUAACCUCUGGGAAUGUUUAAUCCCAAUGGUUCUGGCUAUGCUGUACUGUUAUGUCUCUGUCCUUGCUCUACUGCCAUCCUUGGAGGACUGAGUACAAAUAUUUAGAAGACAACUUAAGGGACUCAAACCAGUUAAUUGCCUCUCUGGUCCUCAAUAGUCCCAUCUGUAAGGUGAGGAUUUAGACAGUUGGCCUCUGGGGGUGCCUGGGUGGCUCAGUUGCUUAAGUAAUCUUGACCCAGCUCAGGUCUUGAUCUCAGGUAGUCAACUUAAAAAAAAAAAAAAAAGACAGUUGGUCUCCAUAAUCCCCUCUCAGCUUCAAUACUUCAGUAUCCCAUGACUGAAGGGGACAUAGAACAUAUUAGUUUGAUGACAAGCGCAGUCUUUCUAAGCAUGAGGGUUGCCAGGUAACAGUAGAACCAGGCAAUUGGUACAAUCCAUGCCUCAGGGGGCCCUGAUUGGGUCUUUGCCAUGGGUGGGAAAGUCUACAGGGCCCAUGAACAUGUGUAGCUGGAGCCCACAUCUCCCUUCCAGAGCAAACUCUGGGUACCUGGGACCCUGAAAUUUCCCACGCAAAUGAUCCAAUAUCUGUUUUCAGGCCCUCCUGUUCUCUCUUUUGGUUCUUCAUCCCCAACACCUAUCACAGUCCCAGAUGCACACCCAUAAGACUAGGGUGUGUUCCAAGGAUGGGGGGGCGGUGCUUGAUACUCAGCCUUCACAUCUUACUCUUCCCUGCCUUCAGAAAUACUUGAGUAGAAAAGUUUGCAAAACACUUGUCAUUGGUGUGCCAAUAUCCACCAAUGCCAGUGUGUAGCAUUGCCAAGAAUGGAAGAGAGUGGGAGGGUGGGGGUAGGACCAGAAGCCUCCGUUUGCACUUUACCUGGCCUGCAAAUGUUGGAGUUGGGGCUGGCUGCUGUAGCACAACAGGCUGAGAAGGACCCAUGUGGGGAAGGGGGUGGGAGGAAGAGUGGGUGCUCUGUGGCCACUUUUUUUAAGCAGGAGCUGUCUAAUGGGACACUUCACAGGCUGAUGGGUAAACCAGGCUCCUUCCCAAACAUGCCUUGGGCAUCACCUCUGUAGGAACUUGAUUUUAUAUUUUAAAUGUGAGUCUUAGUAUCUUUUCCAUUUGCUUUGGAAUUAAACCAUAUCAAAAUCGGCUUCCUUAUCAUUGAUACCCUAUUUCUAAAAAACAAAAACAAAAAACUGAAGAAGGCUUAGAGUAAAACACCAAAUGGUUAAAUAUACAGACUUACCACUGUAUGAAUGAGUGGAAUUAAUCAUGCCAGGAACGCCCAGCACCAAUGGGUUAAGUGGUUUUCCCACAACUACCCAGUGGCAGAGUUAGGACCAGGACUCCUUCCAGCCUGCUCAUUGAGCCUCCUGACUGCCAAGGCAAAAAUAGAAAGUGAUGUGCUAUCUGGUUUUUAUUAUGUGAUCAAAAGUACAAAUACCUAAUUUUCAGAGGAGAUAAUCUUUUCCUAGGCAGGAAAUUUGAGGAAAAGGUUUAUCACCUGUAUGCUUAUUCAGAGACCAGAUCUUCAACAGUGAUUUUGCAGGCAACACUGAAUCAGGCUCCCUGCAACCAUUUAUUAUAUUGACACUUGAUAAAAUCUGGAGCCAUGAUAUUAAAAAAAAAUGAGGAAUCAUUGCUACAGGAACCUGAGUUAAUGCCACUUAACUGACCAAAAUAGGCAUAGGAACAUAACUCAGAAAAAUCAAAACAGUGGACUAGUCAGACCAACACUUCUCAAACUUCUUCACCCAGUGAAGAGAAAAAUGAAAUUCUACCCUGUAGGAUUUGGAGAUAGAGGGUCAGUCAUGUCCCCCUCUACCUCUGGGCCAAGGUGAAAUUUAUCUUUAAAAUGUCUUCACUUUUAGCUUGCUACUUGGAAAUAGAUUUGUGCUUUUUUUUUUAAUAUAAAAUGAAUUUCCCCCACAUCUGUGCCAAAGUUGAUAUAACUAUGGCUUUGAGUAUUCCCUGGCAUUAUCGAAUAUCCCAAAUGUUUGGAAAACCAUGGCUGGCUUAUAUUCUCUCUUAUUUGUUCUUUAUAAUAAACUAAUGAGAGUGGUAUUACCCAUUUUAAUUAAUGGGAAAAUUGAAGAACAGAGAGACUAAGUAAUUAUUCCAAUAGCCCAUGGCACCAAAAUACAUAAUACUUGAAUGAAACACAGAUCUCCUGACUAUAAGGCCAAUCCUUUCUCCCAGCUUCCAUAAUGUUAAUUUUAUCAUUUAAGAAAUAAUCAAGGAGUGAAUGGGACAAUCCACUAAGGUUUCUGAUGUUCAUUACCGGAGCACAAUACCCACUAAACCUGUAAGGCCACUGUACCGGGUUUCCAAUGUCCCCUCAUAUUCCACUCUGGCAUCGAUAAAUGUUCCUGACUCAUUGCCAGAUUCCUCCAGGAGAUGAGUCAACCCUUGCUCAAAUUUCUCUCUGUAAUCAGUUCAUACAUCAUCAACUUCAUGAGCCCGGAGCAAGAGAGAGGAGUCGUUUCUCCCAGGGCUCCUCAGCAAGUAUCCCAAAGUUUACAACAGUGGUGGUAAAUCAUCUCUUCUCCAUAAGGCAGAUCUUCCAUCCUAAAGCCACAUGAUACAAGGAGCAGGCUGGAAGACCAGGAGUCUGGUAACCUGGGUCCUGGUCCUAACUCUGUCACUGGGUAGUUGUGGGAAAACCACUUAACCCAUUGGUGCCGGGCAUGCCAGGGAAUAAUAAUGAGAAACAGUGAGAUACUGUCUGGGAAGCCCUUUGAGCUCCUCAGUGGCAAGAGGCUACAUAAACACAAGGUGUUAUUACUUCCUAGCCAGCAUCAACCGAGGCCAUCACAGUUAAGAUUCCUGCAGAAAUCUCCUCUCUCCUCACACAAGAAAGGACUGCCUGGUCCUUUGGCUUCUCAUCUAGCUGAAAUUCCCAAGCUCUGCAGGGUGUAGAAGGAGUUGACCAUCUGGUUAUAGAUGAGGAGAAUAAUUGAAGUGAAGACUUAAAUCUCAAAAUCACAGACCUUUCCAACUGAAAAAGAAUAUUAGCAAUUCAGCGCACACCCUUGUUCAGAGAAGAAGCUGAGUCCAGAAAGUUUCCUACAUAAUUCACAUUCCCUGGAGGUCAGCCGGACAUGAGAAAAGAGCUGGGCAAAGCAGUAGACCGAGAUCUGGUCUUAGACUCUACAGAACUCUCCACCUAGCAGGGAACGCAGUCACAUUCAUGAUUUAUGGAUGAUGUGAUACGAGCAGUAUCGCAAAGAGCCACCAGUACUGUGACAAAGACAGAGCCAAAGCUGUCCUGCAGCCACAUGGACUUGGGCAAACCAUUUCAACUUUGAGCUUCAGAAAAAUGGAGACAAGAGCAAUGACAUCACCCUCCAGCAUUCCUAUUAUGUCUGACAGCAACCUAAUAACGCCGUGAUGACUGGCUGAUUUCAUCCUUCUGAGAAAGCAGAGAAAGAAGCAUUGGGAUUCUCUCUCCUGAGAAUCCCAGCCAUGUGGCCCCAGCCUGAGUCCAGGAUGGGUCACUUGGAAAAGAACUAGGGAAGUAACUAGACUGCAGCCCCCAGUGGCCUGCCUCUGUGCAGGUGAACAUCCGGGGUUGAAAGGUCUUUCACAAAGGGUUGAAGGCUACCUGGUACUGAGGAGCUUUGGAGAAGUAUUUGCUGUGAUCAGAAAACUGUAAAAGGAGUCCACAUUUUUUCUCUUUAAACUCAGCUACCAAUAAAACAUUUCUUAAUUCAAA